UACGGGGGGAGCAAGCGUUGUUCGGAUUUACUGGGCGUAAAGGGCGCGUAGGCGGUCGUGACAAGUCACUUGUGAAAUCUCCGGGCUUAACUCGGAACGGUCAAGUGAUACUGUCGGACUAGAGUACAGAAGGGGCAACUGGAAUUCCUGGUGUAGCGGUGGAAUGCGCAGAUAUCAGGAGGAACACCGGUGGCGAAGGCGGGCCUCUGGGCAGUGAACUGA
rnacentral:rRNA from 1 species